rnacentral:lncRNA from 1 species
GGCAGUAAGUCCUGGGGUCCCAAAUUGCCGUGACAUCCUCGCGUGUCCUUGGCGUGGCUUCGUAAUCCGUAGAAUGCAACAACUGGAGUGAAAGAACCAAGACAGGCUAUUGAGGUGCUGUGGUGUGGCGCCCAUUCAGCGGAGAGCGGCUGCUGCUGAGGGGGGCCAUACGCCACAACACACCGUGCUUUACCGGAGGAGGGAGUAACACGCCCCACCGCACACGUCCCUACGAGAAGAGAACGAGCUGGUGGUAAGGGUGAUGGUGAUGGUGGUCUUGGUGGUGGUGGUUGUGGUGGUGGAGGCACUGCGGACCAUUGGGUUUAUCGAGUGAGUGGUUGGACGGAGGGGAGACUAGGAAGGAUAAGGAUGAAGGGAGACUGAAAAGGGAAAGUGAGCGCAGGGAGUAAAGGGAAAAAAAAAAGAAAGAAAAAAGUUUGGUUUCAGUCACUAUUCAGGAGUUGUAUUUUGAGGUUUCACGAGGAGUGUUUUCUUAAUUCACAGCGAUGUAACUGAUCAAGGUCUCGCAAAUAGUUUUUUCUAAUGAUGGUGCUGAAUCCUUGUUGACUGUUACCAUUGGCCAUUAAAUAAGAUAAGGUAAGAAAAAUCACGUUAGAACCUCAUGAAUGGUCAAGAAA